UACGAAGGGUGCAAGCGUUACUCGGAAUUACUGGGCGUAAAGCGUGCGUAGGUGGUUCGUUAAGUCUGAUGUGAAAGCCCCCGGCUCAACUGGGGAGGGUCACUCGAUACUGAUCGACUUGAAGGCAGGAGAGGGAAGCGGAAUUCCCGGUGUAGUGGUGAAAUGCGUAGAUAUCGGGAGGAACACCAGUGGCGAAGGCGGCUUCCUGGCCUGUUCUUGACGCUGAGGCGCGAAAGCUAGGGGAGCAAACGGG
rnacentral:rRNA from 1 species